rnacentral:ncRNA from 2 species
UAUAUAUUCAACCAUCCGGGUACCCUUCGGGGUUUAAUGGGGAAGACGGCAAAGCCGUCGCGGUCCCGCCGCUGUGACCGGGGACGAACCCUGCACGAGGCCACUGUUCCACCGAAGUGGGAUGGGAAGGCGCAGGUAGUAGGUCGAUCCGGGAGCCAGAAGACCUACCCGGAGGUCCGGAGCCUG